AUACCUACUAACACUAAUAUUUCAAAACUCCCCACCAUGACUUCUUGCUCUUCUAAGUAGUUGUUAUUGAUUCAUUAUGCUUCUCUUGCACAUCACCAUCUGAUGUUGGAAGGAAAGGGCUUGCACCAUGAAGAGAAAAAACUGAAUACGAAAACAUUUUAACUUGUUCAAUCAUUGCCCCUGGUCCCUUCAACUCCCCAAAUCUUAAAAUUGUACCAUCCAUAUAGAAUUAACCUGCAGAAAAUAAGUAUGGUCAAACAUGUUAUGUAUCAAUUCGAAAUGGCACAGAAGCAUUAGAGAAUUUCAAAUAGUUGUUACCCGUUACCAAAAAAUACACCAUAUUAAGUACUUUUCUAAUUAUUAAGAGAAGAAAGACAAUUAAAUCAUAAAUAUAUAACUAGAAAGUAACAUGAAGGAAGAUUACUCACCUGUUCUAAUUACUUUUCUUAAUAAUCAUGUUCAAACACAAAAGGAAGAUUACUCACCUGUAAACUUGCCACUCAUAAGCUCCAAAACAUAAAUAAGCUCCAUAACAGUAGCUUUGAAUUGGCGAGACAACAUUAUGAAAUCUGGAUCUUGUUCCAGCUCUAGAUUAUAAAAAUGGAAGCAACUAGUCUUCAAAGAUAAUGAAUUAUAUUUUAUCAAUGGUUGAUUCAUCAUGAAAGAAUUAUAAAAUUCUUUUUUUCCAGUUUAUCAUAAUGCUAAAAUGCCAUACUAUUAAGCUGAAAACAACAACAAAAUUCUUAAUUCAUUAAACUAUGUCAACUAUAUGGAUUACACCAUUGGGUACAGUCAAAAAACAAAUCCUUAGAGAAUUAUUCCCUGUGACAUCCCUUUUAACAACUUCUUCCAAUGUUCUUCAUGGUCCUCUACCCUCUUCCUCCAAAGAGACAAAAUACC
rnacentral:sRNA from 1 species